CCUACGGGUGGCAGCAGUGGGGAAUAUUGCACAAUGGGGGAAACCCUGAUGCAGCGACGCCGCGUGAGUGAAGAAGUAUUUCGGUAUGUAAAGCUCUAUCAGCAGGGAAGAAAAUGACGGUACCUGAUUAAUAAGCCCCGGCUAACUACGUGCCAGCAGCCGCGGUAAUACGUAGGGGGCAAGCGUUAUCCGGAUUUACUGGGUGUAAAGGGAGCGUAGACGGCCGCACAAGUCUGGAGGGAAAUGCCGGGGCUUAACCCCGGAACUGCUGUGGAAACUGGGCAGCUAGAGUGCAGGAGAGGUAAGUGGAAGGCGUGGUGUAGCGGUGAAAUGCGUAGAUAUUAGGAGGAACACCGGUUGCGAAGGCGGCUUACUGGACCGUAACUGACGUUGAGGCACGAAAGCGUGGGGAUCGAACAGGAUUAGAUACCCUUGUAGUC
rnacentral:rRNA from 1 species